rnacentral:rRNA from 1 species
UACGAAGGGGGCUAGCGUUGCUCGGAAUCACUGGGCGUAAAGGGUGCGUAGGCGGGUCUUUUAAGUCAGGGGUGAAAUCCUGGAGCUCAACUCCAGAACUGCCUUUGAUACUGAAGAUCUUGAGUUCGGGAGAGGUGAGUGGAACUGCGAGUGUAGAGGUGAAAUUCGUAGAUAUUCGCAAGAACACCAGUGGCGAAGGCGGCUCACUGGCCCGGAUACUGACGCUGAGGCACGAAAGCGUGGGGAGCGAACAGG